CAAAAUCUUUUCUUUAUUUUGGAUGAAUGUUCUUAAAUAUUGGAGGAAACAAUAAACCUGUGUGCACCAACACUCUGUAAACAAAAUGAAAUUUCCCGCUGGGCUAAAUUCAGCCUGGUAUUGCUACUUUGCAAGGUCUAGACAAGAUGAACCCAGAAAUCUGUUGCAGGUAUAGAAUGCUUUGACUCUGUGACUUGAAUUUAGAACAUCUCCUCAGAGUCAUACCAGCUUUGAUUUGGAAGAGGUCCUAACAGGUAAGUGGGUUGCCUCUCAUGCACUAUCCCUUGGCAAUUGUUACCUAAUCUCUUUAGCUGUUCCGUAAGACAGACUGUUCUGAAAAGGGACUCUGAAGGUCUUCCCUGAAUGAAGAAGAAACACCUUGUCCAGCAACUUCUCUGAUUGGUUCUAAUUCUGUCAUCUGGAGCAACACAGCAUGCAGUGUCUUUGGUGUCUUGGAGCUUUAGUCCUGGAUAUAUUUUGUGUGUCUUUGGGAUUAGGAAGUAGGAGUGCUGCCAUCGGGCUCUCUUAG
rnacentral:lncRNA from 12 species